UGCUAUAAAUAAGUAGGACCUUGGGGCUUUUAUUUAUUUACAAUUAUUUAGUCUUUGCUUGGAUUUGAUUACGGUUGGAUUUAUAUUGAAUUUACGGAGUUAGGUAUUAAAUGGGUAUUAAAUUAAUUCUCUUCAUACAGUUGAAUACUGUCAACAAACCGGGCGGGACAAACUUUAGAUUGGAUAACAACGAAAUCGAACUUAAAACAAGUCUUGAAAAUGUCACAAAGUGCCAGCUUGGAGCGACAUAAUCAAAACAAUCAUCAAGAUGAUGAUGAUCUACCUGUAUCAGAAAAAGGAAGCAGAACAAACCAAAAUUACAAAAUGCAAACAGAUAAACAGUUGACCCUUGCUACUGACAACUUGGGUAGCAGACAACGCGCUCUCAACAAGAAGGUCAAUGACGCUUUUUCUCAAGAAGUGAAUUUUGAAAUUGCAAAAUGUAGACCAGAAAAUACGAAGAUUGACCGUUUAUUUAAAAUUGAUCUCGCUGCAAAAUAUAAAAAUGUUGACUACAUUAUUGAAACGCUUAAAUCUGGAGAUGAAUUCUACACAGCACGAGCGCUAAGAAAAUGCAAAUGGUUAUUUAAAGACCAGUAUUCUGACGUUUUGAACCCAGAAUAUCUUUACGAAAACAUAUUUUCUGUCACUUCAAUGAGAGUGAAGAAGAAAAUUUUGAAAACUACAGCCAAAUAUAUCAAGAACCCAGAUCGCGCUGUCCAGUUCUAUAAUGUUUGCAUGCAAGAAAAAAUGCUAUUCACAGCAUUCAACUGUCUCAUAAAUACAUCAGUAGCAUUCAAACUAGAAACCUUACCAAAAUUGGAGGGAUACACUGUAUUUGAAUUAGAAAAAAAGUUUAAAUACUUCAAAUUACUGAUCGGGAAGUCAUUUGAAGUUUUAGAUGCAUUGCUAAAUAUUUAUUAUAAAAGGAUAAGACGUAAAACUGUUUUCAACGUUAAAUAUUUGUACUAUACAGUAUCUAAAGAAAAGUAUUUAGAUGUUGUAGAAAAGUGGCUUAUAUUAAAAGUAAAUUUUAUUACUGAUAAAUUUGGUGCGAAGAUAUCUAAUAGCAUCAUGAAGUAUAAUAAGGACAGAGUGCUUGCAAAGCCACACAUUUAUUAUUAUAUUCUUGAUACAGAAGCUUUUAUAAAGCAUAGUACGAUUGAUGACGCAAAAAUUUAUGCUGAUGUAUUUUUCAGUCCCUACAGAUUUUGGGAUUGUAAAUGGCAUGAGGCUCAUAAGCCCAUAUUUGAUAUUAUUGGAAAUGAGAAUUUCUUACCAUUUUUGAAAAAUUUUGUCGCUAAGAUUUACCCUCUCGGUGAGUUCGACAUGCAUAGAGGCUUUUAUGAUAUGGAAUAUUACAAAUUUAUGACUCCUUCGGAGAAGCAAGAAUGGGCUUUAAGUCAUUUAAAACGUCAAGAUAUAAUUCUCGGCCUAGGAAAUGAGUAUCGCAG